ACGGCCAUACCCCAUUGGAAACACCGAUGUUAAGCAGUGUCGGGCCCAAUCAGUACUUGGGAGGGUGACCACCUGGGAACACCGGUUGCUGUAGGCU